GAUCCUGGCUCAGGAUGAACGCUGGCAGCAUGGAUAAGGCAUGCAAGUCUUCCGUCCAAUUUUUUGGAUUUUAUUUUUUUAAACUAAAAAUGGUUGAAAUAAAAUCCCGGGAUUUGUGCACAGGAGGCCAACGCUACUAACAGGAGGUAAUAAUCUCCCCCAAAGGAUGGACUAGCCCGGACAAAUCCGGGAUAAUACCGGAUGGGCUUGCCUAACUUUUUAAAUGUUAAUAAAAAAUUAUCUGUUUUGAUUAAUAUUUAAAAAAUUAGGCGAGUAAAGAUUUCGGUCGCUUUGGGAGGAGCUCGCUUACUAUCAGCUUGUUGGUAGGGUAAUGGCCUACCAAGGCUAAUGACGGUUAGGGGGUGUGAGAGCAUGACCCCCAGCAUUGGCACUGAAACACUGGCCAAACACCUACGGGUGGCUGCAGUCGAGAAUCUUCCACAAUGGGGGAAAACCCUGAUGGAGCGAUGCUGCGUGCGGGAUGAAGGCCUUCGGGUUUGUAAACCGCUUUUGUAGGGGACGAAAUUUUUGCCGGUUACCUUUUGGAAUAAGAGGUUGUUAACUCUGUGCCAGCAGCAGCGGUAAUACCAGAGACCUUCAGGCGUUAUCCGAUUUUACUGGGCGUAAAGCGUCUGUAGGGGGUUUAUUAAGUUCCAAGUAAAAUUUCAGGCUUCAACUUGAAAUUCGCUUGGAAAACUAAUAAACUGGAGUCUAGCAGAGGUGCAUGGAACUUGUGGUGUAGGAGUGAAAUCCGUUGAUAUCACAAGGAACACCAAAGGCGAAGGCAUUGCACUGGGCUAGCACUGACCCUGAGAGACGAAAGCGUGGGGAGCAAAACGGAUUAGAUACCCGUGUAGUCCACGCCCUAAACGAUGAAUGCUAAAUGUUCGGGGAUUCGACCCCCUGGGUGUUACAGCUAACGCGUUAAGCAUUCCGCCUGGGAAGUACGGCCGCAAGGCUAAAACUCAAAGGAAUAGACGGGGAUCCGCACAAGCGGUGGAGCGUCUGGUUUAAUUCGACAGUAAGCGUGGUACCUCACCAGGGUUUGACAUCCCUUGACAGCCUUGGAAACAAGGUUUCCUUCGGGCAAGGUGACAGGUGCUGCAUGGUCGUCGUCAGUUCGUGCCGUGAGGUGUUCCGUUAAGUCGGGAAACGAACGAAACCCCUAUUGCAUGUUACAAUUUCUCAUGCAAGACUGCCCGGAUAUACUGGGAGGAAGGUGGGGAUGACGUCAGAUCUGCAUGGUCCUUAUACCCUGGGCGACACAGGCGCUACAAUGGCAGAGACAAAGGGUUGCAAAACCGCAAGGUGAAGCUAAUCCCAAAAACUUUGUCUAAGUUCGGAUUGAAGGCUGCAAUUCGCCUUCAUGAAGCUGGAAUCGCUAGUAAUCGUGAAUCAGCCACGUCACGGUGAAUAUGUUCCCGGAUCUUGCA
rnacentral:rRNA from 1 species